AGGGCCAGAAUUAAAAGGCCGGAACGUGGAACGGAAAGCCGAAAGGAGAGGCCCUCCUCGUUGAAGUGUCGACCUCCGGUCCUCGUGUCCAACGUGGCAACGGCAGCAACAUCAAAACAAAAGUCGUCGGCGCCCUCGCCCGCGUCUCGUAAAAAGGGCUCUCAAGAAGCGGUUGCGCUGCGCCUCUGCCCCUGCUCGACGCGUCGGCGUCGGCCCCCGACCCCCGUCCGCACGAGAAAACAAAUCGCCUCUUUUCCAGGAGCCAAACCACCACACCUUAUAUCUGUCAUACUUUCUCGCCCCCCGUGAGCCGUGACCCCGUCUCGCCUCGCCGCCGCCGCCGCCGCCGAUGGGCUCCGGGGAGGAGCCGUCGCAGAUGCGGAGGGCGCUGGUGGACUCUCUCGCGGGCGCCAUCUCCGGCGGCAUCUCCCGCACCGUCACCUCCCCCCUCGACGUCAUCAAAAUCCGCUUCCAGGUUCAGUUAGAACCCACAACCUCGUGGGGUAUUCUUCGAAGGGAUGUGUAUGGACCUUCCAAAUACACUGGGCUUCUGCAAGCAACCAAAGAUAUUCUCAGAGAGGAAGGUUUACCGGGAUUUUGGAGAGGAAAUGUACCGGCUCUGUUUAUGUAUAUGCCAUAUACAGCUAUACAAUUCACUGUUCUACACAAACUAAAAACAUUUGCUUCUGGUUCAUCUAGAACAGAGGAUCAUUUGGAUUUGAGCCCUUACUUAUCUUAUGUAAGUGGAGCUAUAGCAGGGUGCACAGCAACUAUAGGGUCAUAUCCAUUUGACCUUCUGAGGACUAUUCUUGCAUCUCAGGGUGAACCAAAGGUUUACCCCAAUAUGAGGUCUGCGUUUAUUGAUAUAAUUAAAACUCGUGGUGUUCAAGGGCUUUAUUCUGGUCUAUCUCCAACUCUUGUUGAAAUCAUACCAUAUGCCGGUUUGCAGUUUGGUUCAUACGACACUUUCAAACGUUCGAUGAUGACAUGGAACAGAUAUAAAUAUUCACAUCUUAGCUUUGGAAGCGAGGAUGAUUCAGUAUCAAGUUUCCAGCUAUUUCUUUGUGGGUUUGCAGCUGGGACAUUUUCAAAGGCUGCAUGCCACCCACUUGAUGUUGUAAAGAAAAGGUUCCAGAUUGAAGGACUAAAACGACAUCCAAGGUAUGGUGCUCCAAUUGAGAGCAGUACAUACAAGGGCAUGUACCAUGCCUUAAAGGAGAUUGUCGUAAAGGAGGGAUUUGGAGGCCUUUAUAAGGGCCUUUUCCCCUCUUUAGUGAAAUCGGCCCCUGCUGGUGCAGUGACAUUUGUGGUUUAUGAAUACAUCUCAGACUGGUUAGAAUCGAUACUUUAUCCCCCUUUUUUUUCUUGUUAAUGUAUGUUUUCUUUCCGCAUGCUGUUGUACACUUGUGUCUGGAAGAGGUUGCAGUUCCAUUGGAUCCUGCAGUCCAUACGAGGUUUGGGAACCUGCUAAAAUCAACUGGAUGAUUCAUGCUCGAUAGGGUGCAAGGCUGGAGUUGAGUAAGUUCUUGUUGGAUCAUGGAGCUGUCAGGAUAACAUGACGAAAACUUUUUGCACACCCUGGAUAAUGGAGGGGAAUGGAGACCAUAAGGUCACUCGUGAAGUGCAUACAAUCCCUAGAGAUCUGAUUGCAUACAUGUAAAGCCUUACAUAGAAAAUAGCUGUUUUAUCGUUUCUUAUUCUUUUGCCCAAUUGCCUAAUCUGGUGGUCGGGGUAUUCGUUGGCGUCUCAAACAAGGCUGAGUAAAACUAACAUAGUGAUCGUAACACAGCAUACAUGACGGAAGUCAAAAGCAGCCGGCAGUUUUGUUGGGAUCGUGUUACGAAUAUUUUUUUUCCGGCUGAAUUCAUGUUAUAUAUCUACUACUACAGCUAGUACGAGUAACAAUGUAUGCCACUCAGAUGGCGUAUGUUUAAUGGCAGUCAUAAUUUUUCCA